rnacentral:sRNA from 1 species
CUGUGAUGAUAGCAGCUCUGUCACCAGCAGAUAUUAAUUAUGAUGAAACUUUGUCAACAUUGAGAUAUGCCGAUAGAGCCAAGAAAAUAAAAACCAAGCUGUAAUCAAUGAAAACCCAAUGGACAAGAUGAUCAGAGAGCUGAAGGAAGAGAAUGAUAGACUGAAGAAAGCUUUGGAAUCUGGUGGAUCUGUGAACAUAGAACAAAAAGGAUCAAUGAGUCCUGAAGAAAUUGAAUUGUUACGAAAAGACAUGGAAGAGAAGAUUAGAGCUCAAUUAUUAGCCAAUCAACAUUUAUUGAAUGAGACAGAGAGAACUUGGGAU